GCCGCGGUAGCUCAGUUGGGAGAGCGGCAGACUGAAGAUCUGCAGGCCGCUGGUUCAAGUCCGGCCCGCGGCA
rnacentral:tRNA from 2 species